UCCAUUUAACUACCCAUUCUCUAUAUUGUUCCCUCCUUCUCUCUUCUCUUCCCACUUCAUUUUCACGACAACUACACAGAAUGCCAACAACAACAACCUUAAAAAAAAGGCUUAAUUGCACUUUUGGACCCCUAUCUUUCCAAAAGUUGCGGUUAUGGACCCCUAACUAAUUUAAAUACAAAACAGCCCCCUAUGUUUUGAUUCUUUGACAGUUUUGGACCCCCAAGGCAAAAAAAAUAAAAAAAAUUGACACGUGGCACCUCACUUAGGGUGCCACGUCAGCGUUGACCGAGUCAACAAUGGACUGGGGGUCCAAAACUGCCAAAGAAUCAAAAUAUAUGGGGCUGUUUUGUAUUUAAAUUAGUUAGGGGUCCAUAACCGCAACUUUUGGAAAGAUAAGGGUCCAAAAGUGCAAUUAAGCCUAAAAAAAACCUCCAAAAACCUCAAAAAUUAAAACUUACCCAUUAAUCUCCCUUUAUUUCCUAUGUUCUCCAAUAUCACUCCUAACUGCUCCUAUAUUCUCCAAUCUGCACAAUCACGAAAACAGCUCCGGUGAACAACACGAUGAAUGAUUCUGAUUCUGAUUCAGAUUCGUUUGAAGAAUUUGUUGGAUUCGUAUUCGUUUUACUGGGUUGAAUCUGGAUUCAUAUUCGUUAGAUUCAAAUUUGUUAGAUCAGGGUUGAAUAUGAAUUCUUGAAUGAUGAAUGAAUAAGAAUGAGUUGUUCUAUGUUUCUGUGUUUCUUUUUCUCCUUCUUCUGUGCAAUUCGAGUUGCUGUGAAGUUAGAAUUUGAUUUUUUCUAUGGGUUUUUUAUUGUUGUUGUUGUUAUUGUUGACAUCCGAGAGAGACAAGGGAGAGGUGUUUUCUUUAUGCUCUUGCUGCUAUUGUUACUGAUUUGAAUUAGAAGGAGGAAACAAUUUUUUGGGUUUUAAUUUAAGAGUUUUUCUAACUUGUGCAAGAUUGCACAGGAUAAACAGUAAUUAAAGCACCCACUAUUAUAGAUUUCUCCAAAUCUUAUUAAUGAGCAAAUCUUAAAAUUGAUUUUCUUAUCCCUUCUCUCCUUGUUACUGUUUUUCACGUUUUAUUCCUAUUCCUGUCCCUUCUUUUAUUUUAUUAUUGUUC
rnacentral:lncRNA from 1 species